UAUAUUAAUUGCAUUUUCCAUUUUAGGAACCAUUACGAGCACUAUGUGGUUAUCCUAAUCAUGUCAUGAAAACACGUUCAUCAAGGGAGAGGAAACCAAGUAAAUUCAAGGUCUCCCCGUUUGUACACAAAUUAAGGAAGAUGGUAAAACACGAAGCAUCAGAGUGAGGUUCUUGUUGACUUUGGUCAUGAACAUGGAGUUCGUGGAGAUUUUCACUGCUUACGUCCUAGACAAAAUUUGUUCGAUGUUGUAAUAAAUCUAGAAGCCUCAAAGCUAAAUUAUUUUGAAA